CCAAUAGAAGGCACCUGUGUGUGGCCUCAGUUCUUUCUGUUCAUCUGAGCAGCCCUCCGCUUGCCCAGCCCCUCAACCAUCUCUCAGAGCAUAACAGACUGUCUGAGGAGUCACAGAAAAGACCACCCCUGGGCGGGGUGCGGUGGCUUAAGCCUGUAAUCCCAGCACUUUGGGAGGCCAAGGCGGGUGGAUCACGAGGUCAAGAGAUCGAGACCAUCCUGGUCAACAUGGUGAAACCCCGUCUCUACUAAAAAAAAAAAAAAUACAAAAAAUUAGCUAGGCAUAGUGGCGCGUGCCUGUAAUCCCAGUUACUCAGGAGGCUGAGGCAGGAGAAUUGCCUGAACCCAGGAGGCGGAGGUUGCGGUGAGCCAAGAUCGCGCCAUCGGACUCCAGCCUGGGUAACAAAAGCGAAACUCUGUCUCAAAAAAAAAAAAAAAAAAACACCCUAAAGCUGCCGUGGAUUCUGAAAACUGUCCUAUUAGAGGUUCAAUCUUUUGCCUAAAGCAAACUCUAGAGCGCAUGGGAAUCACCUGAAUUACUGUUAAAACACAGAUUGCUGCCCCUUCUCUUCUGUCUAGGUUGGAGCCUGAGAAUUUGCAUUUCUAACAAAUUCGUAGAUGACGCAGAUGCUGCAGGUCCUCAUGCUGAAAAUCCCCGGCCUGACGCAUUGCCCUUCUCAGAGGCUGCAUCUCUCAGGAGAAGGGAGGUGCUUAGACAGGAAGAAGAUUCAGCGUGGAAUUAGACAUGCGAGGUUUCGCUCUGGUUAGGUGUCCUUGGGCAGAGUCUUGCUCUGUCACCCAGGCUGGAGUGCAGUGGCAUGAUCUCAGCUCCCUACAACCUCCACCUCCCACGUUCAAGCAAUUGCCAUGCCUCAGGCUCCUGAGCAGCUGGGAUUAAAGGUGGGUGCCACCACACUCAGAUAAUUUUUUGUAAUUUUAGUAGAUAUGGGAUUUCGCCAUGUUGUCCAGGCUGGUCGUGAACUCCUGGCCUCAAAUGAUCCACCUGCCUUAGCCUCCUAAAGUGCUGGGAUUACAGUUGUAAGCCACUGCACCUGGUCCCUGUCUCCUUUUCUUAUAAGGACACAAGUCAUACUGGAUUAGAGUCCACCCUAAUAAUCCCACUUUAACUUAAUUACCUCUUUAAAGGGCCUAUUUCCACACACAG
rnacentral:lncRNA from 13 species